UAUCAAAGCUUAUCGCGCCAAAAUGGAAAUUAUUAGUAUGUAAAAUUAAAUAUGUGUUACUAAGUUGAUGAAAGUAAGAUACUAACGCGAAGAAUGUCUUUAUCUAUCCCAACUACCAACAGUAGAGCUAAUUUCGUUGUAAAAAUCGUUCUAAUAUACGAAGAACAUGGCAAUAAUUAUAAUCAGAAAUGAACUAAUAAUCAUCAAGCCUAUUUGUAGACUUUACGAAACCCCAAGAUAUUAAUCUCACCAUCAUCAUCAGCACGACGUGAAGAAGAUGAUGGGGCAGUCGUUUAACAACUAUAAGCACAGUUUUGAAACACAGCCCACGCUCAAAAGACAAGCUUCAGAAUCCCAACACACUACUUGUAUGUGCUUUAUUAGACCUACUUACCACACUAAUUUACACAAAUGACGAUGCAAGCUUUACCGAGCUAAGGAAAGCACUCCAACUUUUUCAAAAUGUAAAAAUUAUUGACAAUACUAUUUUUAAGUAUAAUAUCACUA